GGCCUGUUGGGGUAGUUGGAUAUCCUUUUUCCCUGCGGAGGAAGAGACCCGUGUUCAAAUCGCGGACGGGCCGCCA
rnacentral:tRNA from 1 species